UAUAUAUAUAUAUAGGAGGAGGAGGAGGAGGGCACAGCAGGAGGCUUGUAUAUGUGAGCUAUGUCGACAAACUGAAAUAUUCAUCGGAAGUUGAUUAGAAAUGGGCAAUGGGUUUGUUUGGGGUCACCCUGAGUUCCUCCUAGCUUCUUCAGUGCCCGUGGAAAGCUAAUGCUACAAUUAUCUUGAGCUGGUAAGAUUGGCAGGUGUCAGAUUUGGAUGUGUUAAAGGGUUUGGAGGAACUCUAGGUGCUGCCAAACUUUUUACCUGUCAUGUUGUGUGGUUGAUGCAGAUCUGAAUCGGAUAAUUUGGUGGGUUAUUAAGAUUAUCUAUUACUUUGCAACUUGCAAUUAAUUAGUUCCGGACUGGUUCAACGCUCCUAGGGUUAAUCUUAAUCUUUCUUUCUUUCUUUCUUUCUAUUUGGACUUUUUUUAACCACUCUUCAACUUCUGCUAAAGGGAGGAUAAACUUCUCUACCAGAAUAAUGAAGAUAAAUUGAAACAUGAUCAACAGCUGCUUCGGAUAUGGCAUGAAAAUGUCAAAACAGCUGCACUAAUGAUGAGUGUGUAGUACUACAAGGCCUUUGAAGGCCACAGGAUCAAAACUCCACAUUUGUUAGUAAAAUGGAGGUUGUGGAAGGGCACACCUCGACCUCCUCUUACAUGGCAUCCACAAACUGUACCAGUAAUCUCUUCAAAUCUCCUUAAUUCUUUGUUGCUGCCAAGUUCAAGAUUCCACCGCAAAGAGGAAAGCAAAAUUAUCCAAACAUACAGAUAGCAUAAUUGACUUCAAGAGUAGAUCAAAAAAAGAAGUAGAGGUAAAAUAGAAAAGCAAACUAGGCAAGGGGGCUGCCACUGGUUGCAGAAGUGAGAGCGGCACUUGUUUUCUUUGUUUUUUCCCAGAUCCUUGGCGAAGAGUAGUUAUAUAAUUAAAAUUUUAUUUUGCGGCUCAGAAUGCAGCAAGAUAUCUCUGGUCUAACAAGAAAGGUUGUCAUUUCUUCAUCAGGUGCACAAAUUAAGGACUUGGAGAGACUAGACAAAAUACUUCUCAAUUAUUUUCAACAAUUUGGUAUUUGUGCUUUUCUCUCACAAUUGGAAUCUAAUUACUAUGAGUACAUGUUGCAUGGACCUUGAUGUAGCCCUUUGAGUGGAUGAACCUCUAAUUAAAGCCCAUGGAAUCAAGCAAGGGAAAAUGCCUCUUCAUCAAGUUAAUAAGGGCAAUGUCAGAUUUAUUUAUUUUUUUGCGAGAAGAAAGGACAUGUAAAGAAGACAUAUCCUAAAUUCAAGCAUAGACUUGAAAAGAAAGGUAAUCUCAUCAUUUUAGUGUGUUUUGAAUUUAAUAUAGUUCAUGUUUCGCAUAAUAUUUGGUGGGUUGAUUUUGAUUCUACAAUCAAUGACAAUGCCAUGCAAGGCUUCUUAAAAAAAAAGAUGAAAAAUGAAUGUGUUAUCUAUUUAAGAAACACUACCUUCCUGUGA